rnacentral:rRNA from 2 species
UUCAAAUUGAGAGUUUGAUCCUGGCUCAGGACGAACGCUGGCGGCGUGCCUAAUACAUGCAAGUCGAGCG